GGAUUUUGGGCUGAAUUUCUGGGCAAUUCCACUGCAUUUCAGGCUGGAUUUUGGAGCAAUUCCACAGGAUUUCAGGCUGGAAUUCGGGCUGAAUUUCAGGGUGAUUCCACAGGAUUUCAGGCUGGAUUUUGGACCAAUUUCACAGGAUUUCGGGCUGCAAUUCAGGCUACAUUUCAGGGCAAUUCUACACAAUUUCAGGCUGGAUUUUGGGCCAAUUCCAGUGGAUUUUGGACCAAUCCCACCCUGUAUCACCCUGUAUCACCCCAAAUCUCCUCUGUCUCUCCCCCCCAGGCCAUGCUGCUGCAGCUGCUGACCGCCCUGGCCGGGCUGGGAUUGCAGGAUGGAUUUUGGGGCAAUUCCAGGGGAUUUCAGGAUGGAUUUUUGGGGCAAUUUCACAGGAUUUUGGGCCAGAAUUCGAGUUAAAUUUCAGGGCGAUUCCACAGGAUUUCAGGCAGGAUUUUGGAGCAAUUCCCUGGGAUUUCAGGCAGGAUUUUGGGGCAAUUCCAGGGGAUUUCAGGCAGGAUUUUUGGGGCAAUUCCACAGGAUGUUGGGCUGAACUUCUGGCUAAAUUUCCAGGCAAUUCCACACGAUUCCAGGCUGGAUUUUGGAGCAAUUCCCAGCAAUUUCAGGCAGGAUUUCAGGCUAAUUCCAGUGGAUUUCGGGCUGAAUUUCAGGGCAUUUCCACAGGAUUUCAGGCUGGAAUUCGGGCUGAAUUUCAGGGCAAUUCUACACAAUUUCAGGCUGGAUUUUGGACCAAUUCCAGUGGAUUUUGGAGCAAUCCCACCC
rnacentral:lncRNA from 12 species